rnacentral:rRNA from 1 species
GAUGAACUCUAGCGGCAGGCUUAACACAUGCAAGUCGAGGGGCAGCAUAAUGGUAUUAAUACUAUUGAUGGCGACCGGCGGACGGGUGCGUAACGCGUAUGCAACCUACCCUUUACAGGGGGAUAACACUGAGAAAUCGGUACUAAUACCCCAUAAUAUUCUGGGAGGCAUCUUUCGGAGUUGAAAUCUUUGGAGGUAAAGGAUGGGCAUGCGUUGUAUUAGCUAGUUGGUAAGGUAACGGCUUACCAAGGCGACGAUACAUAGGGGGGACUGAGAGGUUUAACCCCCCACAUUGGUACUGAGACACGGACCAAACUCCUACGGGAGGCAGCAGUGAGGAAUAUUGGUCAAUGGACGGAAGUCUGAACCAGCCAUGCCGCGUGCAGGAAGACGGCUCUAUGAGUUGUAAACUGCUUUUGUACGAGGGUAAACGCAGAUACGUGUAUCUGCCUGAAAGUAUCGUACGAAUAAGGAUCGGCUAACUCCGUGCCAGCAGCCGCGGUAAUACGGAGGAUCCAAGCGUUAUCCGGAUUUAUUGGGUUUAAAGGGUGCGUAGGCGGUUUUGUAAGUCAGCGGUGAAAUUUUGGUGCUUAACACCAAACGUGCCGUUGAUACUGCUGGGCUAGAGAGUAGUUGCGGUAGGCGGAAUGUAUGGUGUAGCGGUGAAAUGCUUAGAGAUCAUACAGAACACCGAUUGCGAAGGCAGCUUACCAAACUAUAUCUGACGUUGAGGCACGAAAGCGUGGGGAGCAAACAGGAUUAGAUACCCUGGUAGUCCACGCAGUAAACGAGAAAAGCUCGUGUUGGGCGAUACACAGUCGGGGAAUAAGAGAAAUCGAUAAGCUAUCCACCUGGGGAGUACGUUCGCAAGAAUGAAACUCAAAGGAAUUGACGGGGGCCCGCACAAGCGGAGGAACAUGUGGUUUAAUUCGAUGAUACGCGAGGAACCUUACCCGGGCUUGAAAGUUACUGACGAUUCUGGAAACAGGAUUUCCCUUCGGGGCAGGAAACUAGGUGCUGCAUGGUUGUCGUCAGCUCGUGCCGUGAGGUGUCGGGUUAAGUCCCAUAACGAGCGCAACCCCUACUGAUAGUUGCCAUCAGAGCGUUUGAGCGAUCAAACAAGCUGGGCACUCUAUCGGGACUGCCGGUGUAAGCCGAGAGGAAGGUGGGGAUGACGUCAAAUCAGCACGGCCCUUACGUCCGGGGCGACACACGUGUUACAAUGGUAGGUACAGAGGGCAGCCACCCAGUGAUGGGGAGCGAAUCUCGAAAGCCUAUCUCAGUUCGGAUUGGAGGCUGAAACUCGCCUCCAUGAAGUUGGAUUCGCUUG